rnacentral:lncRNA from 1 species
CGGACGUGGCCGGCUCGGGCUCACCCGCCGUCCAGCAGGGGACGACCCCCGCCGGAAGCAGGGAACCCUCUCCAACCCCGGUGUCCCGGAGCCUGGGCUCGGGGGAAGUUGUCGGGGAAGAACGGCAAGACCCCCGGGAGCAAGUUGGCGACCCCGCGCCCAGCUCCACUUCGGCAGCUGGGGCUCUCCCCGGCACCGACCUCGCCACCCUCGCCGGGGUCGCUUGGAAUCCUCUUACCUGGGAUCCGAGCGUCUUUGAGCGGGGGCACCGGUUCUGUAACAUCCCAAAAUUUCAAACCUUUACAUGAGCAUUGCAUUCAUAAACAUCAUGCCACAAUUGCAUAUUUGAAUUCAAAUUUUGAAUCUCAAAAGGCUUUGGAAAGAUUCUUUAUUUCAUUUUAAACCCUAGGGUUUACACCCAUUUGAGCUUUGGAUCUUCAAACCAUUAAAUUUUAUAUAUAAAAAGGGUUUAGUGCACAUAUGAGCUAUCCCAUAAUUUUUGGAUAAUUGUUUGGAGUUGAAAAAAAGUAUUUUAUUUAAACAGAUAUAUGGCCCUAAAGGCAUUUACAGAGCAAAUGUAUUUUUACAUAUUUUAUUUUGAAGAGAAACUACUUCUAAAAGUUGUAUCUUGGUAGAACAUGAUUUUACAAAUUUUCUGGAAUUUGUUUGGACCAAUUUGGAGUUCAAACACAAAAGAUAUCAAAGAAAUGGGAAAACAGAAAAAGAAAAGGCCUAAAAGAAAAAAAAAGGUAAACCGGACCGGCCCGGCCAAAAUGGGCCGAACCGGCCCAGUCCAACCGCGCACGACCGGCCCAGACCGCUCGGUCCGCGCGCGCGUGCCCGCAGUCCCCGAAGGAAAGCGCCGCCGGUCACGCGCGCGAAUUCCGGCCGCCGUCCCCGCGCGCCCGCCGCCGCAAUCCGCUCCUCCGGCCUUCCUUUUUCACGCCCGAGCUCGUCUAUAUAACCCCC